GGUUAAGCGACUAAGCGUACACGGUGGAUGCCCUGGCAGUCAGAGGCGAUGAAGGACGUGCUAAUCUGCGAUAAGCGUCGGUAAGGUGAUAUGAACCGUUAUAACCGGCGAUUUCCGAAUGGGGAAACCCAGUGUGAUCCGUCACACUAUCAUUACGUGAAUACAUAGCGUAAUGAAGCGAACCGGGGAACUGAAACAUCUAAGUACCCCGAGGAAAAGAAAUCAACCGAGAUUCCCCCAGUAGCGGCGAGCGAACGGGGAGCAGCCCAGAGUCUGAAUCAGCUUGUGUGUUAGUGGAACGGUCUGGAAAGUCCGACGGUACAGGGUGAUAGUCCCGUACACCAAAAUGCACAGGUUGUGAACUCGAAGAGUAGGGCGGGACACGUGGUAUCCUGUCUGAAUAUGGGGGGACCAUCCUCCAAGGCUAAAUACUCCUGACUGACCGAUAGUGAACCAGUACCGUGAGGGAAAGGCGAAAAGAACCCCGGCGAGGGGAGUGAAAAAGAACCUGAAACCGUGUACGUACAAGCAGUGGGAGCCUACUUGUUAGGUGACUGCGUACCUUUUGUAUAAUGGGUCAGCGACUUAUAUUCUGUAGCAAGGUUAACCGUAUAGGGGAGCCGAAGGGAAACCGAGUCUUAACUGGGCGUUAAGUUGCAGGGUAUAGACCCGAAACCCGGUGAUCUAGCCAUGGGCAGGUUGAAGGUUGGGUAACACUAACUGGAGGACCGAACCGACUAAUGUUGAAAAAUUAGCGGAUGACUUGUGGCUGGGGGUGAAAGGCCAAUCAAACCGGGAGAUAGCUGGUUCUCCCCGAAAGCUAUUUAGGUAGCGCCUCGUGAAUUCAUCUUCGGGGGUAGAGCACUGUUUCGGCUAGGGGUCAUCCCGACUUACCAACCCGAUGCAAACUGCGAAUACCGAAGAAUGUUAUCACGGGAGACACACGGCGGGUGCUAACGUCCGUCGUGAAGAGGGAAACAACCCAGACCGCCAGCUAAGGUCCCAAAGUCAUGGUUAAGUGGGAAACGAUGUGGGAAGGCACAGACAGCCAGGAUGUUGGCUUAGAAGCAGCCAUCAUUUAAAGAAAGCGUAAUAGCUCACUGGUCGAGUCGGCCUGCGCGGAAGAUGUAACGGGGCUAAACCAUGCACCGAAGCUGCGGCAGCGACACUAUGUGUUGUUGGGUAGGGGAGCGUUCUGUAAGCCGUUGAAGGUGUCCUGUGAGGGGUGCUGGAGGUAUCAGAAGUGCGAAUGCUGACAUAAGUAACGAUAAUGCGGGUGAAAAACCCGCACGCCGGAAGACCAAGGGUUCCUGUCCAACGUUAAUCGGGGCAGGGUGAGUCGACCCCUAAGGCGAGGCCGAAAGGCGUAGUCGAUGGGAAACAGGUUAAUAUUCCUGUACUUGGUGUUACUGCGAAGGGGGACGGAGAAGGCUAUGUUAGCCGGGCGACGGUUGUCCCGGUUUAAGCAUGUAGGCGGAGGUUCCAGGUAAAUCCGGUACCUUUUUAACGCUGAGGUGUGAUGACGAGGCACUACGGUGCUGAAGUAACAAAUGCCCUGCUUCCAGGAAAAGCCUCUAAGCAUCAGGUAACACGAAAUCGUACCCCAAACCGACACAGGUGGUCAGGUAGAGAAUACCAAGGCGCUUGAGAGAACUCGGGUGAAGGAACUAGGCAAAAUGGUGCCGUAACUUCGGGAGAAGGCACGCUGAUAUGUAGGUGAAGCGGUUUACCCGUGGAGCUGAAAUCAGUCGAAGAUACCAGCUGGCUGCAACUGUUUAUUAAAAACACAGCACUGUGCAAACACGAAAGUGGACGUAUACGGUGUGACGCCUGCCCGGUGCCGGAAGGUUAAUUGAUGGGGUUAUCCGUAAGGAGAAGCUCUUGAUCGAAGCCCCGGUAAACGGCGGCCGUAACUAUAACGGUCCUAAGGUAGCGAAAUUCCUUGUCGGGUAAGUUCCGACCUGCACGAAUGGCGUAAUGAUGGCCAGGCUGUCUCCACCCGAGACUCAGUGAAAUUGAACUCGCUGUGAAGAUGCAGUGUACCCGCGGCAAGACGGAAAGACCCCGUGAACCUUUACUAUAGCUUGACACUGAACACUGGUCCUUGAUGUGUAGGAUAGGUGGGAGGCUUUGAAGUGUGGACGCCAGUCUGCAUGGAGCCAUCCUUGAAAUACCACCCUUUAAUGGCUGGUGUUCUAACGUGGACCCGUUACCCGGGUUGCGGACAGUGUCUGGUGGGUAGUUUGACUGGGGCGGUCUCCUCCUAAAGAGUAACGGAGGAGCACGAAGGUUAGCUAAUCCUGGUCGGACAUCAGGAGGUUAGUGCAAAGGCAUAAGCUAGCUUGACUGCGAGAGUGACGGCUCGAGCAGGUGCGAAAGCAGGUCUUAGUGAUCCGGUGGUUCUGAAUGGAAGGGCCAUCGCUCAACGGAUAAAAGGUACUCCGGGGAUAACAGGCUGAUACCGCCCAAGAGUUCAUAUCGACGGCGGUGUUUGGCACCUCGAUGUCGGCUCAUCACAUCCUGGGGCUGAAGUAGGUCCCAAGGGUAUGGCUGUUCGCCAUUUAAAGUGGUACGCGAGCUGGGUUUAGAACGUCGUGAGACAGUUCGGUCCCUAUCUGCCGUGGGCGCUGGAGAAUUGAGGGGGCUGCUCCUAGUACGAGAGGACCGGAGUGGACGCAUCACUGGUGUUCGGGUUGUCAUGCCAAUGGCAUUGCCCGGUAGCUAAAUGCGGAAGAGAUAAGUGCUGAAAGCAUCUAAGCACGAAACUUGCCCCGAGAUGAGUUCUCCCUGAGACUAUAAGUCUCCUGAAGGAACGUUAAAGACGAUGACGUUGAUAGGUCGGGUGUGUAAGCGUAGCGAUACGUUGAGCUAACCGAUACUAAUGAACCGUGAGGCUUAACCUU
rnacentral:rRNA from 1 species